rnacentral:rRNA from 1 species
ACCCCACUGCUAUCGGGAUAGGACUAAGACAUGCUAGUUGAGCGCUUCCAGCCAACACRGGAGCGCAGCGCACAGCUCAGUAACACGUGGCUAAUCUGCCCUUGGGACCGGAACACCCCCGGGAAACUGGGGCUAAUUCUCGAUAGGUGAAGAACUCUGGAAUGAGUCUUUGCCAAAAAGACGUUUACGUUAUGCUCGUAGGCGUCGCCCAAGGAUGAGGCCGCGACCGAUCAGGUUGUUGGUGAGGUAAUGGCUCACCAAGCCUUUUACCGGUGCGGGCCGUGAGAGCGGGAGCCCGGAGAUGGGCACUGAGACAAGGGCCCAGGCCCUACGGGGCGCAGCAGUCGCGAAAACUUUGCAAUACACGAAAGUGUGACAGGGCUAUCCCGAGUGCCAUCCGCUGAGGAAGGCUUUUACCCAGUCUAGAACGCUGGGGGAAUAAGGAGAGGGCAAGUCUGGUGUCAGCCGCCGCGGUAAUACCAGCUCUCCGAGUGGUGUGGAUGUUUAUUGGGCCUAAAGCAUCCGUAGCUGGCUGAGUUAGUCCCUUGUUAAAUCCACCGAAUUAAUCGUUGGAUUGCGGGGGAUGCUGCUCGGCUAGGGGACGAGAGAGGCAGACGGUAUUUCCGGGGUAGGGGUGAAAUCCUAUAAUCCCGGGAAGACCACCAGUGGCGAAGGCUGUCUGCUAGAACGCGCCCGACGGUGAGGGAUGAAAGCUGGGGGAGCGAACCGGAUUAGAUACCCGGGUAGUCCCAGCUGUAAACGAUGCAGACUAGGUGUUUGAACGGCCACGUGCCGUUCUAGUGCCGCAGGGAAGCUGUUAAGUCUGCCGCCUGGGGAGUACGAUCGCAAGAUUGAAACUUAAAGGAAU